AGCGAACGCUGACGGCAUGCUUAACACAUGCAAGUCGCGCGGGUGGUUUCGGCCAUCCGCGGCGGACGGGUGAGUAUCGCGUAGGAAUGUAUCCCGAGGUGGGGGACAACCCUGGGAAACUGGGGCUAAUACCGCAUGGGGCCUGUGGGUCAAAGCCUUAGGGCGCCUUGGGAGCAGCCUGCGUCCGAUUAGGUAGUUGGUGGGGUAAAGGCCUACCAAGCCUGCGAUCGGUAGCUGGUCUGAGAGGACGAUCAGCCACACUGGGACUGAGACACGGCCCAGACUCCUACGGGAGGCAGCAGUGGGGAAUAUUGGACAAUGGGCGCAAGCCUGAUCCAGCAAUGCCGCGUGGGUGAAGAAGGUCUUCGGAUUGUAAAGCCCUUUCGGCGGGGACGAUGAUGACGGUACCCGCAGAAGAAGCCCCGGCUAACUUCGUG
rnacentral:rRNA from 1 species